UCUUAAUGAUAAGCACAGGCAGCAGGAUGAAGCCUCAGACAGAAAGAAAGAAGGGAAGACAAGAGGGUUUCUGGGCCUGAGGGGGAGGAAGAGAGAUGAGGAGGGAUCUAUGGCGUAGAGAUCUAGAGAAAAAAAGAAAACAAGGACAGGUUGCCUGUGCAGUUUUCUGAGUUUUCAAACUAAGAAAAGAUCUGAAAUGAGACAAGAAAAAAAAUGCAUGCGAAGAAAAUGGCUUUAAAGGACAAGUUAACAGUGGCUUUCCACGUUGAAAACCGGCCCCAGAAAAUUUCAUUCAGGAAUUGAACACAUAGGUAGAUGAAGUGAGGCUCCAUGAGGUUGAAUAGCUUGCCUAAAGUCCUGUGACUGACUUCCAGGUAACCAAAUUCCUCAGGGCUCCUUCCCUGUCCCAGCCGCAUCACUCUAGAUACUGGCCCGCCACGCCGCCCUCCCCUGCGAGCUUCCUGCGCCCCUCCCUCUGAACAGCCCAGCCGGGCCAGCAUUCCAGGAAAUGCCCUUCCCAGAACCAACUCCACCCAGCUGCUGUUAGCACAAUUUGCCUGCAAGACAGAUGCUAUCUCUGACACUGGCACCGGCCUCCUCCAGGACUGGAGCCCGUGAUAGAUGUCCUCUGAGGUUGACUGGGGAGAAGAAGCCGUUACAUUCUUCUGCAAUGUAAUGCAAAACAGAUCCGGCUUUGGCUCCGGCCAACACCAGGGAAGUGGACUUCAUUGUAAAAGCCACCUUGUCAGCGUCAGCCCCGGGUGAUUAAUGACUCUUUAAUCCCAGAGCAGAAUACCUGACAAAAUACGCUUGGGCCAAAAAGGCAGAACAAACCUAAUUAGCCUGGUCAACCCACUCACAAGGUGUGGGUUGCCAAGGACCCCAACAGCUCGGAAAGGAAGCCUCUCCCGGCCUCUCCCUUUAGGUCUGUGAAAGAAUCAAGUGGCCACAAUGGGGAAGGGACUCCAUUAAAAGCAGGGGCUGGCCAAUGAAUAAACAUGCAGGUUACCGUGUUGAUAUUUCACUGAAUGCCAUUCUGAAGUGGGGUGCUCGGGGCCUCGGAGGCCGGCGCCCCCGGUAUUGUACUGGGGGAGGGACUGGCCAUUUGAAGUCAAGGUGAGGACAUACUGGGGGCAGAUGGAACCUGCUUUGUUUGUGAAAGAGUUUUUCUGCUAUUUAUGCUAAUGAGUGGGAAACACUUCUCAAGCAUUUCAGAUGAUUCUGUAAUGAGGCCCGGCAGAAUGUGCCAACAUUGUUGGCCCAGGACAAUUUUAAACUCCCACUCGCCACAUUAGCAGCCCCUUUCUUUACAUGAAGGCCCUUGGAGGGUGAAAGAGGACAAUGAAGGAAGAGUGAAAACAUCACAAAGAGAGGCUUUUGUUUCCCGUUCCUUUGAACCCUCUCAAAAGCCCGGUUUCAAGGGGUGUGUUGGGCCUGCCUUUCAACGUUACUGAACCCAGAAUCCCCUGUUGUUUAGCAACAUAGAAAGCUGACCUUAAUUGACUUCACUUCUGAGCAGGCUUUGUAAAUCACUCUGCCCCCGAGUGAAAUUUCCUGAUGGGGUCUGUAUGUGAGAUACACCGUUUAUACACGGGACACCAACAUGGCCGACGCGCUGCACGCGCAAUUUUCAGCUUACAGCCCACUUUGUGGACAUUCUUGAGUUUACUUCUCGCAUGCCGCUGAUCUCCGAGUUAGGGAUCACCCGUCACAUUUCACAGCGAAGACAGCCAAGCUUCAGAGAAGUUAGGUGACCUGACCAGAGUCACACAUCAAGAAAGAAAAGGAGGUGUGGCCGGAACGAAGAGCUCCCUGACUUUUCCCACUCCGUCCCUGUUGUUCCAGGGGUUGUACCUGUUGCGCGCGCGUGUGUGUGUGUGUGCAUGUGUGCGUGUGUGCCAGAAAGACAUGUCCAGAGAGGAGUUUGUUGAAAACAUUAUGCUUGAGAGAAAGAAGGGCACUGCUAGAUUAUGGUGACAUUUUGGAUUUCCUCCUUAAUUUCUGGUCAUGAGAGCAUUUCCUGGACAAGACUUCUCCUUUCACUGGACUCUAGCUGUGCCCAGGUGAUUCAUCCCCACUCCUUCCUUCCUCAGCCUCAAGUCCUGAAACUACAGGUGCAGGGCCAUAAU